UUCAAGAUAACAUUUACAGAGAAUGAUGUACAUGUAAUUAAUUAUAUAUUUUGUAAUGCAUGUUCAUGACCAUUUUCAGCUCUUAUCUUGCAUGUUUCGAUUGUUUUAAUAGUUGCUGCAUUGCCUGAGAUGAUUUUCACAGCCCAGGCGUUUGAUAAAAGUGCAUAUACAUGUAGAUGCUUAACCAAUCAGUCACUAGGCUUGUGAAUAUGGAAUCUGGAUGCUCACAAGAUUUAGGACAAGAACUGUAUAAAAAAAAAAUGAAAUUGUGCAAGGAAAGUUUGAAGUGUCUCUUGGAAUGAUCAACAUCGAACUUGCUGAGCCUUCGUACUAAAAGUGAAUCCGUUGGUGACGCCAAUUAUCUGUCAACCCUCUAUUGCAAAUUUCAUGGGAUAUCUGUGAGAUAUGAUUCUAGCAACAUUUCAGAAGUUUUGUAUCUUCCACAAUUGGGAUCUUUGGCACGUACAUUGGUGGAAAAUAGCAACUGUUAAUUUUAUGGGAUCUUUGUAUCAAUGCAGUUGUGUAGUACAUAUAUUUUUGCAUUUAAUAUGUGUGUUUGUCACUCUAAUCACUAACUUUGUACAGUAAAUUUACAUGGGCCACUGGCAGUUUAUUGUAAAUGUAUAUCCUGUUGAGGUUUCAAUUACCUCUCCCAAUCCUUGGCCAAUGUCAUUUAAUGAAUCUAACCUCUUAUUUUAAAAAAAUGCAGACUUUAGUUUACUACAUACAUGUAUAUCAUAACUUGAUUAUCUUUGAUUUAACCAAGGUGAUCCCCCCAGUAAUCAUAUUUUUUCUUGGAUAUUUCUGUUAAUAACCUUUGAUGUAAAAUACUUUUAAGUUUCAUUGAGAAUACAUACAUUAAAAAAAGUGUGCUUAUAAUGUACAUCUGAGUGGUAAUACAGUACAGUACAGACAAGCGAUAUAAUUUUUUAGUUGUUAAUAAAUAUAUAAAACGUUUUUUACGAAGCUCACAAAAUUCUUUUUCCAGAAUGUUUCAUCUUCCAACAACUUGUUUAAAGUUUGAUGUUAAUGAAAAUUCGGUCGAACAAAGUUGUGUGAUGAAAAACGACAUUAUUUAAAGCACAUUAUGAUGAAUAUAACUGUUUAAUUUAAAUUAUGAAGAAACAUAAGUAAUUAAUUUGAAAA